UACGGAGGGUGCAAGCGUUAAUCGGAAUUACUGGGCGUAAAGCGUGCGCAGGCGGUUAUGUAAGACAGAUGGGAAAUGCCCGGGCUUAACCUGGGAACUGCAUUUGUGACUGCAUGGCUAGAGUUUGGCAGAGGGGGGUAGAAUUCCACGUGUAGCAGUGAAAUGCGCAGAUAUGUGGAGGAACACCGAUGGCGAAGGCAGCCCCCUGGGUCAAGACUGACGCUCAUGCACGAAAGCGUGGGGAGCAAACAGG
rnacentral:rRNA from 1 species